rnacentral:rRNA from 1 species
AUUGAACGCUGGCGGCAGGCCUAACACAUGCAAGUCGAACGAGGCGCGGACGGGAGAGAAAUGUCUGGGAAACAGCCUGAUGGAGGGGGAAAACUAGGGGAAACGGUAGCUAAUACCGCAAAGCAUCGGAUUAGCCCAGGAGGGAUUAGCUAGUAGGUGGGGGAACGGCUCACGUAGGCGACGAUCCCUAGCGGGUCUGAGAGGUUGACCAGCCACACUGGCACUGAGACACGGUCCAGACUCCUACGGUAGGCAGCAGUGGGGAAUAUUCCACAAUGGGCGCAAGCCUGAUGCAGCCAUGCCGCGUGUAUGAAGAAGGCCUUCGGGUUUUAAAGUACUUUCAGCGGGGAGGCGUUACCCGCUGAAGAAGCACCGGCUAACUCCGUGCCAGCCGCCGCGGUAAUAC